AACGAACGCUGGCGGCAGGCUUAACACAUGCAAGUCGAGCGGACCCUUCGGGGUCAGCGGCGGACGGGUGAGUAACGCGUGGGAACGUGCCCUUCUCUCUGGAAUAGCCCUGGGAAACUGGGAGUAAUGCCGGAUACGCCGGGCCAUGGCGACAUGGUUUGGGAAAGAUUUAUCGGGGAAGGAUCGGCCCGCGUUGGAUUAGGUAGUUGGUGGGGUAAUGGCCUACCAAGCCGACGAUCCAUAGCUGGUUUGAGAGGAUGAUCAGCCACACUGGGACUGAGACACGGCCCAGACUCCUACGGGAGGCAGCAGUGGGGAAUCUUGGACAAUGGGGGCAACCCUGAUCCAGCCAUGCCGCGUGAUCGAUGAAGGCCUUAGGGUUGUAAAGAUCUUUCAGCUGGGAAGAUAAUGACGGUACCAGCAGAAGAAGCCCCGGCUAACUCCGUGCCAGCCGCCGCAGUAACAC
rnacentral:rRNA from 1 species